UACGGAGGAUCCGAGCGUUAUCCGGAUUUAUUGGGUUUAAAGGGUGCGCAGGCGGGAGAUUAAGUCGGCGGUGAAAUUUUGCAGCUCAACUGUAAAAGUGCCUUCGAAACUGGUUUCCUUGAGUGUAGAUGAAGUAGGCGGAAUUUGUGGUGUAGCGGUGAAAUGCAUAGAUAUCACGAGGAACUCCGAUUGCGCAGGCAGCUUACUAAACUACUACUGACGCUCAGGCACGAAGGCGUGGGGAUCAAACAGGAUUAGAUACCCCAGUA
rnacentral:rRNA from 1 species